ACCCGCACAAGCGGUGGAUGAUGUGGAUUAAUUCGAUGCAACGCGAAGAACCUUACCUACCCUUGACAUGUCCGGAACUUGCCAGAGAUGGCUUGGUGCCCGAAAGGGAAUCGGAACACAGGUGCUGCAUGGCUGUCGUCAGCUCGUGUCGUGAGAUGUUGAGUUAAGUCCCGCAACGAGCGCAACCCUUAUCAUUAGUUGCUACGCAAGGGCACUCUAAUGAGACUGCCGGUGACAAACCGGAGGAAGUGGGGAUGACGUCAAGUCCUCAUGGCCCUUAUGGGUAGGGCUUCACACGUCAUACAAUGGUCGGUACAGAGGGUUGCUAAGCCGCGAGGUGGCGCCAAUCCAUAAAGUUGGUCUCAGUUCAGAUUGUAGGCUGCAACCCGCCUGCAUGAAGAUGGAGUUGCUAGUAACCGCAGGUCAGCUAUACUGCGGUGAAUACGUUCCCGGGGCUU
rnacentral:rRNA from 1 species